UUACGGCCACAUCAUGUUGAAACACUGGUUCCCGUACAAAACACCGAUGUUAAGCAACGUCGAGUUUGGUCAGUACCUUGAUGGCAGACCCCUUGGAGAUACCAGAUGCUGUAAG